UACGUAGGGUGCAAGCGUUGUCCGGAAUUAUUGGGCGUAAAGAGCUCGUAGGCGGUCUGUCACGUCGGCUGUGAAAUCCCGAGGCUCAACCUCGGGUCUGCAGUCGAUACGGGCAAACUAGAGUAUUGCAGGGGAGACUGGAAUUCCUGGUGUAGCGGUGAAAUGCGCAGAUAUCAGGAGGAACACCGGUGGCGAAGGCGGGUCUCUGGGCAAUAACUGACGCUGACAGCGCGAAAGCCAGGGGAGCAAACGGG
rnacentral:rRNA from 1 species